AUGCGACUAGUGUCGAAGCAUGCCCUCGCCGCUGACGAUCCGUCCGGUCCGCUGGUCGUUACGUCCGCGUGCAGCGUGUGGUGCCACAAAGAUCUGGCGCUGAAGCCGGCCUACCGGAAGGCCGCCGUCAAGUCCUACAAGGCGGACGUACGCGCCGUCGACUUUGUGAAAAAGGUCAUAUAUUUGUGGCUUUCAAUUUCAAGUUUCAAUGCUGAUCCAUCUCUCUCCUGCAUGCAGCCGGAGGAUGCGAGGAAGGAGAUCAACAGGUGGGUCUCUAAGGCCACGAAGAAGCUCAUCACCAACGUCUUACCACGGGGCUCAGUGCACCGCGACACUAGGCUCGUGCUCACCAAUGCCAUCUACUUCAAGGGUAUGUGGGAGAACGCCUUCAGCAAGAGCCGCACAAAAGACCACACGUUCCACCGCGGCACCGCCUCGACAGCAGCACCGUUCAGGUGCCAUUCAUGGACGGAAACAGACGCCACAAGUACCUGGUCAUUGCUUAAGCUCCCCUACAAGAAGGCGGCCAACAACGGCGCCACUUAUUCGAUGUGUGUCUUCCUCCCGACCGCGCGAGACGGGCUGCGUAGCCUUGCUGACGAGAUGGCGACCGGUGGGCCAAGCUUCCUGUUCGACCACCUGCCGACUCAGUCUAGGAGCGUGACCAAGCUCCGGCUACCCAAGUUCAAGUUGUCCUUCUUCUGCAGCAUGAAGAAAGUUCUGGAGAUGUUGGGGCUCCGGGCGGCGUUCAGCGGGGAGGCCGAUCUGUCUGACAUGGUGGACAAGGACUCGGCCGGAAACGACGUGCCGCUGCGGGUAGAGGAUGUGUUCCACAGGGCGGUUGUGGAAGUGAACGAGGAAGGCACCGAGGCGGCUGCAUUCACCGCCGUCAUGACCGUAUUAUAUUGUUGGACACCUCCGUCCGUGCCUGUUGAUUUUGUAGCAGACCAUCCUUUUGCCUUCUACAUAGUGGAGGAGGUGUCCCAUACGGUGGUCUUUGCUGGUCAUGUCCUUGACCCUUCUGAAACCGAGUGA
rnacentral:rRNA from 1 species